rnacentral:rRNA from 1 species
AUGAGAGUUUGAUCCUGGCUCAGGACGAACGCUGGCGGCGUGCCUAAUACAUGCAAGUCGAACGCUUCUUUCCUCCCGAGUGCUUGCACUCAAUUGGAAAGAGGAGUGGCGGACGGGUGAGUAACACGUGGGUAACCUACCCAUCAGAGGGGGAUAACACUUGGAAACAGGUGCUAAUACCGCAUAACAGUUUAUGCCGCAUGGCAUAAGAGUGAAAGGCGCUUUCGGGUGUCGCUGAUGGAUGGACCCGCGGUGCAUUAGCUAGUUGGUGAGGUAACGGCUCACCAAGGCCACGAUGCAUAGCCGACCUGAGAGGGUGAUCGGCCACACUGGGACUGAGACACGGCCCAGACUCCUACGGGAGGCAGCAGUAGGGAAUCUUCGGCAAUGGACGAAAGUCUGACCGAGCAACGCCGCGUGAGUGAAGAAGGUUUUCGGAUCGUAA